rnacentral:ncRNA from 1 species
AGCGCAGGUGCCGCAAUUUGCGGCAGACGAGGAAAGAGGUUGUCGAACAGUCAGCGGAUGCCUCUCGGCUUGCUGCAGGCCGUAAAGCUGGGUACAAAAACUGCCGGUAACGGCGGCGACAAAA